GAUGAACGCUGGCGGCGUGCCUAAUACAUGCAAGUCGAGCGAACGGACGAGAAGCUUGCUUCUCUGAUGUUAGCGGCGGACGGGUGAGCAACACGUGGAUAACCUACCUAUAAGACUGGGAUAACUUCGGGAAACCGUAGCUAAUACCGGAUAAUAUUUUGAACCGCAUGGUUCAAAAGUGAAAGACGGUCUUGCUGUCACUUAUAGAUGGAUCCGCGCUGCAUUAGCUAGUUGGUAAGGUAACGGCUUACCAAGGCAACGAUGCAUAGCCGACCUGAGAGGGUGAUCGGCCACACUGGAACUGAGACACGGUCCAGACUCCUACGGGAGGCAGCAGUAGGGAAUCUUCCGCAAUGGGCGAAGGCCUGACGGAGCAACGCCGCGUGAGUGAUGAAGGUCUUCGGAUCGUAAAACUCUGUUAUUAGGGAAGAACAUAUGUGUAAGUAACUGUGCACAUCUUGACGGUACCUAAUCAGAAAGCCACGGCUAACUACGUG
rnacentral:rRNA from 1 species